rnacentral:rRNA from 1 species
GAUGAACGCUGGCGGCGUGCCUAAUACAUGCAAGUCGAGCGAACAGAUAAGGAGCUUGCUCCUUUGACGUUAGCGGCGGACGGGUGAGUAACACGUGGGUAACCUACCUAUAAGACUGGAAUAACUCCGGGAAACCGGGGCUAAUGCCGGAUAACAUUUAGAACCGCAUGGUUCUAAAGUGAAAGAUGGUUUUGCCAUCACUUAUAGAUGGACCCGCGCCGUAUUAGCUAGUUGGUAAGGUAACGGCUUACCAAGGCAACGAUACGUAGCCGACCUGAGAGGGUGAUCGGCCACACUGGAACUGAGACACGGUCCAGACUCCUACGGGAGGCAGCAGUAGGGAAUCUUCCGCAAUGGGCGAAAGCCUGACGGAGCAACGCCGCGUGAGUGAUGAAGGUCUUCGGAUCGUAAAACUCUGUUAUUAGGGAAGAACAAAUGUGUAAGUAACUGUGCACGUCUUGACGGUACCUAAUCAGAAAGCCACGGCUAACUACGUG